CUUCCUUGCCAAGGUCAAAAACAUGUAUACUGUUGUGGAUAGAAAAUUCUUUCUUUGGAUAAAGCCGAUGCAUAGAAAAGUUGGGCUUGGUCCAAUCUUGAUGAUGACCGAUCCAGACUGAUAUUUCAGAAAAAUAUCAUAUUUGAUAUUAUUAUCUGAUUUAUGCUAGCUGAAAAAAUUUUAAAAUCCAUAUGAUAAUCUACCAUGAGAGGAUAAGG
rnacentral:lncRNA from 1 species